UACGAAGGGGGCUAGCGUUGCUCGGAAUCACUGGGCGUAAAGCGCACGUAGGCGGAUCUUUAAGUCAGGGGUGAAAUCCUGGAGCUCAACUCCAGAACUGCCUUUGAUACUGGCAACCUUGAGUCCGGGAGAGGUGAGUGGAACUGCGAGUGUAGAGGUGAAAUUCGUAGAUAUUCGCAAGAACACCAGUGGCGAAGGCGGCUCACUGGCCCGGUACUGACGCUGAGGUGCGAAAGCGUGGGGAGCAAACAGG
rnacentral:rRNA from 1 species